rnacentral:rRNA from 1 species
UACGGAGGGAGCUAGCGUUGUUCGGAAUUACUGGGCGUAAAGCGCGCGUAGGCGGCUUUGUAAGUUAGAGGUGAAAGCCCGGGGCUCAACUCCGGAAUUGCCUUUAAGACUGCAUCGCUAGAAUCCGGGAGAGGUGAGUGGAAUUCCGAGUGUAGAGGUGAAAUUCGUAGAUAUUCGGAAGAACACCAGUGGCGAAGGCGGCUCACUGGACCGGUAUUGACGCUGAGGUGCGAAAGCGUGGGGAGCGAACAGG